CAAUAUUCCUGUGUGACAUUAUUAAAACUCCACAUCGAUAUCAAAGCCAAAGCAAAGGCUGCCAUCCCAUUAACACAUCAGUUGUGGGAUGAUCGAUAAAAAUUUACUCUAAGCUGCACCAUAUGUUGCUCCCCACAAAGUUUUAUUAUUCAGAUUCAUCAGUUUGCACCUCAACCCCCGUGCAAUUAAAUCCCAUUUAGCAGCACUGACCUCCUGAUUUGAACUCGUCAUUCCUGCAGCUGGUUUGGAGUUUUAACGGCACUUUUAAAUAAGGAAAAUGUAAAAUAUCUGUGAAUUAAUGGUGGGGCAGGGGGAGCAUUCCAUGGGGCAAUCCCUCCUGUGCUGCAGCAGGGAGGGAAAAGAAAUAGAGGGGAAAAAAAACCCCAAAGAGUGCCAGCACAUUUUCCCGUGUUGUAGCGUAUUUGUAAACAUCGUUAAUCACGGAUUAGCAGAUGGUGAUGUUAAUUGCACCUGUGGAAGCAACAAGACCUCGAGGUUGAUUACAUUUACAAACGGGAGCGGGGCUGCGCCUUCAGAGUGCCCCGUGGGCAGCAAUCCCAGCUCCAGCUCCACUCCCAGCACAUUCCCAGCUCCAGCUCCAAUCCCAAUCCCAGCUCCAGAUCCAAUCCCAGCACAUUCCCAGCUCCAGCUCCACUCCCAGCACAUUCCCAGCUCCAGCUCCAAUCCCAAUCCCAGCUCCAGAUCCAAUCCCAGCACAUUCCCAGCUCCAGCUCCACUCCCAGCACAUUCCCAGCUCCAGCUCCAAUCCCAAUCCCAGCUCCAGAUCCAAUCCCAGCACAUUCCCAGCUCCAGCUCCACUCCCAGCACAUUCCCAGCUCCAGCUCCAAUCCCAAUCCCAGCUCCAGAUCCAAUCCCAGCACAUUCCCAGCUCCAGCUCCACUCCCAGCACAUUCCCAGCUCCAGCUCCAAUCCCAAUCCCAGCUCCAGAUCCAAUCCCAGCACAUUCCCAGCUCCAGCUCCACUCCCAGCACAUUCCCAGCUCCAGCUCCAAUCCCAAUCCCAGCUCCAGAUCCAAUCCCAGCACAUUCCCAGCUCCAGCUCCACUCCCAGCACAUUCCCAGCUCCAGCUCCAAUCCCAAUCCCAGCUCCAGAUCCAAUCCCAGCACAUUCCCAGCUCCAGCUCCACUCCCAGCACAUUCCCAGCUCCAGCUCCAAUCCCAAUCCCAGCUCCAGAUCCAAUCCCAGCACAUUCCCAGCUCCAGCUCCACUCCCAGCACAUUCCCAGCUCCAGCUCCAUUCCCAAUCCCAGCUCCAUUCUCAAUUCCAGCAACAUUUCCGGCUCCAAUCCCAGCUCCAGCAGCAUUCCAGUUCCAUUCCCAAUCCCAGUUCCAUUCCCAAUCCCAGCUCCAGCAGCAUUCCCAGGCUGCUCCCUUCCCCUGCCACCAACCUGGAAUUUGGAGAGGGAAAGGUGUCCCCUGUCCCAGAGCCAUUCCAGCCUCCAAAACACCACUGGGACCCAGCAGUGAACUGGUGGAACGGGAUUUUUCCAGUUGUUGGAUUGGGUGCAGUGGGAUUUUUCCAGUUGUGGUGAUAACCCUGAGCACAGAAGGGAAAUGUGGGGCAGGAGCUGAGCUGCUCUCCCAGCCAGAGCUCCCCAGGGUGGAUUUUGGGAGAUGAGACUUGUGUUUUCCCCUGGGUGCCGAACUCAUCUUCUGAAUCAAGGAGGACAAAUAUUUUGCCACUGUGCUUAGUAGAGACACUUUGAUUAUUGAAAAAUCAUUCUGAAAGGGCAAUUAGUAAAUUUUAAAAUCAAUUUGGUAAAUAAGCCUCUGAAAGGAAUCCAUGACAAGCAGCAGGGAGGGAAGAAUUGACUUUCAAAUUACACACACACACUUUAUUCAUAUCUAAAUAUCAAAGAGACUCUAUGUACAAACAGAAGUAAUCAGGAAACGUGUUUUGAUCUUGCUGAUGUACACAAAAAAUGACAAUUAAUGUCCCCCUUUAUGAUAUAAAGCUGGGAGUUUUUUACAGUUACAUUACAGGGACUAUUA
rnacentral:lncRNA from 12 species